rnacentral:snRNA from 1 species
AGCUUUGCGCAGUGGCAAUAUCGUAGCCAAUGAGGUUUACCCCAGGAGCGAUUAUAGCUAAUUGAAAAAAAAAGUUGUAUGAG